CUCUCUCUCUCUCUCCCUUUUCUCUCUUAAUUUCUCUUUUGUUUACAAUGAAAUGAAUAAAUAUACGUCGGAAGGAAUUGCUAUCUUUGCGCUCAGCGCAGACAUUAGGUCGAUCCAGUUCUCAUCGGAUGGAUCAAAGUAUGAUAGGGAAGGAAGAGGUUAUUGUAUUGCAAUGCCUGAUUUUAGUAUGUUACCCAUUCCUUGGGCUAUAUAUGGCCGAAGAAUUUGUACAACAACAAUAAAACGAAUAACCAAUGAGACCCUAAUCAAUCCUUGGAUUGAUUCCAAAAUCUAUGCAUAUCCAUGCUUCAUCUGGGAAAAUCAGCCUAGACAGAGGUGCACACAGCCGCACACAGAGACACAGACACAGGAAAUGUGUGGAUCGGAGGAAAUUAAAAUCAACCCGAGACAGGGUAACGUGACAGAUACCAACUAGAAUUGGGAAAGAGGACUAGAGAGAACUGGAGAUAGUGCUGGAACUGUUGGGUCGGUAGAACUUAAAACCAUCCCAAGACAGGGUAAUCACUGAGAUUAGGAAUUGUAGGCACGUUUCUUAUGAGAACUUGGGGAACUUACGUUGAAACCCUACAAACAGAGAGAUGGAGCCAACCAACUUGGGGAGCACCAUGACCAUGGACAUUCAACCAUAAGAGCAUCUCCACGGGUGUGGUAUUUAGUGUAUUAGUGGUGUGUGCUAAGAAUUAGCAAAUAGAUAUGUGUUUUAGAUGAAUGAGUUAUCGUGCUAGAGUGUGCUAGUUUAGGUAUAUGCUAGGAUGUGUGCCAAGUUUAGGUAAUCACACAGCACACAUUAAGAGUGAGGGAGAGGAGAAAGGUGGUAACCAUCAUUAUGAACUAAAUAUGUAUCGACAUAUCUAUAUAAGUAAUAUAACAUACAACUAGCUUACGGCUUACCUUAGUACAUACUUUUAACAAUACAAUUGGAGUACUUAUUCGAUUCCUAAGCUAACACACUCCUAACACAAACGAAUGUGUCCCAUUUUUAAUAUUUUUUACAGGAUAAUACACAUUUUGGCGCACUUUUUUGAUAGCCCAUUAGUGUGCAGAAUCAUACUCCCUCUGUCCCAAAAAUAUUGUCCAUUCCGCAAAAUGAGAACUUAAAAAUGUACUUUUUAUCAAGAAAAA